rnacentral:rRNA from 1 species
UACGUAGGCAGCAAGCGUUGUUCGGAGUUACUGGGCGUAAAGGGUGUGUAGGCGGUUGCUUAAGUUUGGUGUGAAAUCUCCCGGCUCAACUGGGAGGGUGCGCCGAAUACUGAAUGACUUCGAGUGCGGGAGAGGAGAGUGGAAUUCCUGGUGUAGCGGUGAAAUGCGUAGAUAUCAGGAGGAACACCGGUGGUGUAGACGGCUCUCUGGACCGUAACUGACGCUGAGACACGAAAGCGUGGGUAGCAAACAGG